AGAGAGAGACAUGCGCGCAUAUCAAUAAGCGGAGGAAAAGAAACUAACAAGGAUUCCCCUAGUAACGGCGAGUGAAGCGGGAAGAGCUCAAAUUUGAAAUCUUAAAGGGUUUCCCUUUACGAAUUGUAGUUUAAAGAAGUGUUUUCUGUUGAGGUUUUGGUAAAAGUUCUUUGGAAUAGGACAUCAUAGAGGGUGAGAAUCCCGUAUUUGACCUUUACUUUCAACUUUGUGAUACACUUUCAAAGAGUCGGAUUGUUUGGGAAUGCAGUCCAUAAUGGGUGGUAAAUUUCAUCUAACGCUAAAUAUUGGCGAGAGACCGAUAGCGAACAAGUACCGUGAGGGAAAGAUGAAAAGAACUUUGAAAAGAGAGUUAAACAGUACGUGAAAUUGUCAAAAGGGAAGCGUUUGACACCAGUGUUGUUUUUCUGAAAAUCAAUUAAAGAACUGUUUAUGCUAAGUUGUUUAGACUUUAUCAGCUAACUGUUUAGUUUUGAGCUUUUCUUUAAUGCACUUUUCAGUUAACAAGUCAACAUCAAUUUCUUUUGCUGUAAAAAAGCUUGAGGAAGGUGGCUUGAGAUUCGUCUUAAGUGUUUAUAGCCUCUUGCCUAUGCAGUCGGAGAGAUUGAGGUCUGCAGCGUAGAUCCUUCGGGGCUAAAUGCAUUUGUGCUAAGUUAUAGCAUUUUAUAGACAACUUGUUGACUAUGAUUUGUCUUGUAGCUUACUCGCUUAUGUUAUUUUACCUACGCUUAGGAUGUUGACGCAUGAGAUAUACGC
rnacentral:rRNA from 1 species